rnacentral:rRNA from 1 species
UACGUAGGGGGCAAGCGUUGUCCGGAAUCAUUGGGCGUAAAGAGCGCGUAGGCGGCUUGUUGCGUCGACUGUGAAAACCCGCGGCUCAACCGUGUGGUCUGCAGUCGAUACGGGCAGGCUGGAGUUCGGUAGGGGAGACUGGAAUUCCUGGUGUAGCGGUGAAAUGCGCAGAUAUCAGGAGGAACACCGGUGGCGAAGGCGGGUCUCUGGACAGUUCCUGACGCUGAGGCACGAAGGCCAGGGGAGCAAACGGG